CGGACGGGUGAGUAACGCGUGAGCAAUCUGCCUCUGUCAUCGGGAUAACAUUUAGAAAUAGGUGCUAAUACCGAAUAAGACCACGAUGCGGCAUCGCAUUGGGGUAAAAGGUUACUGGACAGAGAUGAGCUCGCGUCCCAUUAUGGUAGUUGGUGAGGUAACGGCCCACCAAGCCGACGAUGGGUAGCCGGCCUGAGAGGGUAAACGGCCACAUUGGAACUGAGAUACGGUCCAAACUCCUACGGAAGGCAGCAG
rnacentral:rRNA from 1 species